CACAUGAACCACCCCACACACACAUAACCCACACACAUGAGGCACACAUAAACAAGACCUCAUGGACAGACCUCAAACAAAUCAAGACAGCAAAAGUGCCGAUGCCAACAUUAAACGUUGUGUAGUGAUGUCGUGUAAUGAUCUCCGAUUUAAUUUCCUUUUGAUAGUUUGUUCAAGGGGCUCCUGCCUACGCCUACCCACCCCUGGCCCUUCCUCCCUCACCCAUUGGUGUCUCCAAUGUUUUCCCCGUCCCUGCAGCCAACACUGUUCCUUAUAUGGGCGUUCCUCAAAUGGCAGGAUUCAACCCCCUUCAACAACAGGGUGUACAAGCAGGGGGUGCUUUGCCUCAACGUUUCAAGCGUCAAAUCAUGAAACAGCGGAAUACUGCAAUGGAAACUCAGAUUCAGACUCCACCUGAGAUGCAAACAACAGCCAUUCCCUGUGACGUCCACAAGGAGAACAACUAAAAUAAUGUUUUAAUAAACUGGAGACAUAAUGGCUAUAAUUGGCUUGAAAUAAAGGCUUAAAAUAAAGUGACCUUAUGCAUGCAC
rnacentral:lncRNA from 1 species